rnacentral:rRNA from 1 species
UGGGGAAUCUUGCGCAAUGCGCGAAAGCGUGACGCAGCAACGCCGCGUGGGGGAAGACGGCCUUCGGGUUGUAAACCCCUUUCAGGAGGGACGAAGGUGUGGCAGUUAAUAGCUGUCCGCACUGACGGUACCUCCACAAGAAGCUCCGGCUAACUACGUGCCAGCAGCCGCGGUAAUACGUAGGGAGCAAGCGUUGUCCGGAAUCAUUGGGCGUAAAGCGCGCGUAGGCGGCCCGGUAAGUCCGCUGUGAAAGUCCAGGGCUCAACCCUGGGAUGCCGGUGGAUACUGUCGGGCUAGAGUCCGGAAGAGGCGAGUGGAAUUCCUGGUGUAGCGGUGGAAUGCGCAGAUAUCAGGAGGAACACCUAUAGCGAAGGCAGCUCGCUGGGACGGAACUGACGCUAAGGCGCGAAAGCGUGGGGAGCGAACAGG